rnacentral:rRNA from 1 species
AAAAGCUCGUAGUUGGAUUCAGAGGUGGGGUUGUGGGUCGGGUGUGGCCCGGCAGCUUGUCUCCGUGUGCCGCUCCCAAUCAACCCGCGUUUGCCCCAGCCUCCUAUCGCACGGAAACGGAGUCCUGCUGGGGUCUCCUUAACUGGGGGUUCCAGCGCUUCCGCGCACAACGUGCGCUUACGGACCGUCCGUGGACGUUACUGUGAACAGAACAGCAUGUUCAAAGCAAGUGGCUUGCCUGCCCUGCAUGUUAAAGCAUGGAAUAACAAGGCAUCGACCACUCGGCGGUGCUUUUGUUGGUCUUUCCUUCCCGGUGGAAAUGCGCAGSCGUGCACACUGCCGGCCUUCUGGCCGGUCUGGUUGCCGUCUCUUCGAGAUCAAUAGGGGCAAACGGGAGAUACCUAUUGUGGGGAGAGCGGUGAAAUGCGAUGACCCCCAUAAGAGGAACUUC